CCCAACAUCACCAGUAAUCUCACAGGAGGAACCAGUGAAAAAACCAGCAGAGAAACAGGCAUCCUAGAGUAAAGCAUUCUAGAUGUUCCUGAAGAUGACCUGAGAGAUGCUUUUCAAUGAGAAAUGUCAUUAUGACCAUUAACCAGAGGAAACCUCCACCUGUCUAAAUGUUCCUCCACCUGCUUUCUGCUCUCUGUAGAGAUCGGUGUCAUCUGCAAACAUCAUGAUCCACAGAGAUUCCUGUCUGACCUCAUCUGUGAGUCUGUUUAUUACCAUGGUUUAGUCCUCGGUUUAGUCCCUACAGAACCUACAGAACAUCUCACCGCUGUCUUCCAGCUCUCAUUCAUGUCCUGAAAAACUCAAACGUUCUUCUCUACUUCCUCCUAAACCACACCUCCUCUCUCUGGAUCUAAAGACAUGAAGCAAAUCCUUCUGACCUUCUAUUUUCUUUUCUAGAAACCUCAUCAAAGCAAACAUCUGAGGUUCUCUUCUUCUACAUGAAACCAAACUGAUCCUCACAGAUGUCCACCAUUGUCUCCUGUUACACAAAUUCACCCAAACGUACCUGCAGGACUCCGCUCCGCCUCCCAGGGAAGGUCUCCGUCGCGGUCCGACAUCCAGGAACAAAGGCCCCGGUGGAAGGUGCAGUGCAGCCGGCCCGCCUCUGCAGCACAAACAGGGAGAUCAAAGAGUUCCUGCAGCAUCCAUCUGUAUCUUCAUCCAACAGAAACCAACGUUCUGAGGCGCUGGGUUCUUCCACACACAGCCUUCACAGUGAACUAUAACCUCACUUCCUUAUGUUGAAGCACAGAACAUACCAGGCCGCCAGGGUCCUGACUACAGUUCCCAUAAUGCUCCAUCAAUCCAUCAACCGGUGCACCUCUGUCGUACUAAAACAUUCGGACGGCUUUCUGAGCGCCGUGUUCCACAGAAAACCUGUUCCAGCUCAGUAAACAGAACCAGGAUUCACAUUGAUUUCUGGGAACUUUGAAGGGUUUUAAACAGUCCAAAGAAUACAAAUGUUUGAUGAAAACC